rnacentral:rRNA from 1 species
GACGAACGCUGGCGGCGUGCCUAAUACAUGCAAGUCGAACGCAGUGGCGGACGGGUGAGUAACACGUGGGUAACUGCCCCCCUCUCUGGGAUAACAGUUGGAAACGGCUGCUAAUACCGGAUAGUGGGGGAUGACUAGCGUCCUAUCAGCUUGGUGGUGGGGUGAUGGCCUACCAAGGCGGUGACGGGUAGCCGGCCUUAGAGGGUGGUCGGCCACAUUGGGCUGGGAUACGGCCCAGACUCCUACGGGAGGGAGCAGUGGGGGAUAUUGCACAAUGGGCGCAAGCCUGAUGCAGCGACGCCGCGUGAGGGAUGAAGGCUUUCGGGUUGUAAACCUCUUUCGGUACAGAACGGGUAUGUGCAGAAGAAGCGCCGGCUAACUACGUGCCAGCAGCCGCGGUAAUUC